CGUCGUUGGAAUUUCUACCCCGAGAACGCGAGGGUUUCCUCCGCGGCCGCCGCCGCCGCGACCCCAUAUCCCGCCACUCCAUGGCCCCAGUCCUCGCUCCGCAGCCGCCAAAUCCGGACGAGUUCGUCGCCCUUUGCGCCGCCACCCCGGCAGCCCCUCUCGUCGGCGACUACCACGGGUGCGCCUCCCUCUCCCUCGAGACUCCAUCUCGACCUCGAGGCUCCAGCGCGACGCCACCUCCUGCCGACCGCGACUCCCUCCAGCGCUGCCGACGUCGCCCUUUGCGUCGCCACCCCGGCAGCCCCUCUCGCCGACGACCACCACGGGGGCGCCUCCCUCUCCCUGGAGGCUCCAUCUCCCCAGCGGCCUUCCCUCCUUUGCCCCGAGUCCAGGACCACCAGUUUGGUCAAAUUCCCUGUAGCCGCCGGUCAUGAUCGGCCGCACCGCCGCCCCUGGUCGACGCUAACGCCGCGGCAGGGAACCGGCGGCAGGGAAGCCCUGACUUCUGUAUGCAAUGCCGACCUUAAUGACAGAUGUUUCUGUGUUUGCUCUGGUGCCGUGGCUGCUUUGAUGCAUCAAAUCCCUCUGCUUCCCGGCGCCUCUCCAUCUCUUCCAGAUUGAUUUACAACUGGGACCGUCCCUAACAAAGUCUGCACAUCGAUCUGCUGUAACAUUGGCUGGGUUUUCUCUCCUCGACUCUACUAACACUCUGGAGUUACAAGCAAUUACAUCAGGUAGAUAUAUCUAUGUUUUACAACUGGGACUGUCCCUAACAAAGUCUGCACAUCGAUCUGCUGUAACAUUGGCUGGGUUUUCUCUCCUCGACUCUACUAACACUCUGGAGUUACAAGUAGAUAUAUCUAUGUUCUUUUUUUGCUUUGAGCUGCAUUGAUUUUAUUUGUAAACGGGGAGAGGCAGGUGAGCUGCCAGCACAUCUUGGCCACCACUGAUUUACGGACAAGACGAAUAGAUAUGCAGACUAAGCUCCAGGGAUUUCGGUAGUACAUGCCAUGUUUAUCCUCACUGCUGAAUAAUCUAUAUAUAACUAUUUUUGCAAUACUUGGACCACAGGAGCAAUUCGUUCUUUAUAUUUUGCUCGGGAUUGUGCCUUUCAUAAUAGAAGGGUAAGAUGUAUCGCAAUAUCUUUGACUUGCAUUCUCUGUGAUGUGAAGUAAGAAAAUAGAAUAUAUAAUAUUAAAUUAUCUUUUUCCUUUUUUUAAUGUCCCUAUCUUACUCAUAUAAUCCAAUUGGCAUUCACUAGAGUUUCUGUUGAUGAAACAUUUGUUUUGUGAUGUCAGGAGGUUUUCUUUGUGACUUUUCAAUCAAUAUUUGUAGAUACGGUUCGUAGAUCAUGAUAUCUGCACAAUCUCUAUCUACGUCCUGUGAUUAUAUAUUGUAUUAAUGGGUUGUGUCAGGCUUAUUUUAUCAACUGCUUGGUUGUUGACCUACAUUACGGUUUAAUUCUUACAGCAGUUUAUGUUGACUCGAUUCCCUGUAGUAGGUUGAGAGGCUUCUCCUCUCAUGAUUUACUCUGAUCAGUUUGCUUUGCUCCAUGCUCCUCAUGAUUUCUUUGAAUUUUUCUGUAGGAGCUCAAUCAAAAAUCACCUAAGCAAAUAUGUCGUCCUUCUCUACAAGGGUUGGAUGUGGAAUUUGAGGAGAAUCUGUGCACCAGCAUUGGACUCCUUGAUGUUGCUCUGAUCAUAUUGUGUAAAUAUAUUUCUAAUAAAGCAAUUGCUCGAUGGUGUACAUGUUAGAAAUAACAAGAUGUAAUCAUCAAGUGUGAGAGAUGGCAACAUCAGGAUGGGAUGGUAUGUACUGUUGUGCUCAUCAAUAGGUUAGUCUUUCAUUCUGUUGCAGCCAGUAUGUUUUUUCUUAUGGAAACAAUCAAGAAAUAUCUAAUUUCUAUGUACAUCCAAAUAUAUAUAAGUGGCUAUUAUUAACAUGGAGUUUAGAUUUGUUAACGGUCACUGCGUUUGGUCUAUCCCGAGCCUCUGAUUGUGAUUCGUGUUCUUUUGAUAUGCACUUGCCAUGAUAUUGUGGCUGUACUUCUGGUAUGUGUUACCUCUAAUAAAUGUUGCAGAGCUCCCUCUCCUCUGCUUGAUUUUCCUUUUUUGGAUUUUCAUCAGCUUGCUUCGUUCUUCGGUCGACGGCAUCACAGUACCCCUGUCUAUGUGGACAAUGCCUAAUAUACUUCCACUGGAUGGCGACCAGGCCAGGAAGGGAGUGGACUUGUGCUGCUCACGGCUUUGCUCCUCUAUUCCCUCCUUUUCCUUUGAUGUUUCGAAACAUCUUGGAGUAGUGGAUGGAUCAGAUAUGGCCCAGUAGCACUGGUGGUUUUACUGUGCAGGAACAGUUCAACAUGUAGUUCUUGAUGGGAUUUAGUAAUUUUGGGUUGUUGAGCAAGAUCGUGGAAGCUAAUGCUGCUGAUUCAUGUGCAAUUAUUAUCCUUUUUUUUCUUUCUUAGAUUUUUGAGGUUUUUCUUAGAUGUUUUUUUAGAUAAGAUGUCUAGAGAUUUCAACUUGGUCAAUUCAUAUGCUUAACUAAUAUUUUAGAUAACGGAAGAUUGCUCCUGCGGCUGUUGCAUCGUUCCAUAUUUUAUAUUGCCUGAACAUGUUUUUUCUUUUGCCUGAUCCUACUUUGUUAAACAUCUUUUCCCAGUUAAGUGGCUCGGCUUUGCUAUUGUUUCUCUUGGUUUCACUCUGCAUAUCAAAAUCUCUUUUACGUACUAUGCAUUUAUGCUCUAUCUGCACUGUAAUUCAACAUGUCUUCCUUCCGGCUACAGCUAAUACCUCUGUCUCAAGCGUAUAUUAUUGAAGUAAUGCUUUUUGAUUGAUUAUAUAAUUGUAUAUUGUUCUUUCACUAUCUCAUAGGAAAUCAGAAGACCACUUUUGGAUAAGUUGGAUGGUAGGUCUUUCUCUGGAACUGUUUAUCAUCUGCAAAAAAAUUUGGCUGAUCAGAGCUCAGAAGCAAUGAGGAACAUGAAGCAGCAAAGAUAAUGAGUGACGGUGGUGGCUGGACGUCCCCGCCAUGAAGAUGAGCGGAAGGAGCAAGAGCACAUCUGAAGAUGGGGAGGGGUGGAGGUGGCGGUUCUGAAUUUGAAGACGGUGCCGUGAGGAGUAGCAGGAGGAGCAGCCGCCGACGGCCUGGCUGCAUGUGUUAUCUUCAAUCUUCGGUGUAUGGAUCAACACAGAACUAUAAGGUCCUGAAUAUAAAUCUACUAACAAAUUCUGCGAUUCUUUGCUUCCAAAAGAUGAACCUAAACUUGCAAUUCCUCUACUACUGCCCAUUGCCCAGUACAGGUCCAAGUAAGAUUUUUUUUCUCAACUUGCUAAAUCCUUUGUGCCCUUUCCCCCUUCUUAUUUUGUUCUGCUCUCGACUAAGUGGACUUUAUGUAAUAUGUAGAUGAUAGACUGAUGGUUAUUGUAGAUGCACCCUAGCCUUGGUGUGUCUAAUAUAUUUUGCACAUAGCUCACAUACACAGUUCUAAAAAAAUAUGAUCUUGAUGUAUCUGAGU